UACAGAGGUCCCAAGCGUUGUUCGGAUUCAUUGGGCGUAAAGGGUGCGUAGGCGGCGCGGUAAGUCGGGUGUGAAAUCUCGGGGCUUAACUCCGAAACUGCAUUCGAUACUGCCGUGCUUGAGGACUGGAGAGGAGACUGGAAUUUACGGUGUAGCGGUGAAAUGCGUAGAUAUCGUAAGGAAGACCAGUGGCGAAGGUGGGUCUCUGGACAGUUCCUGACGCUGAGGAGCGAAAGCCAGGGGAGCAAACGGG
rnacentral:rRNA from 1 species